UACGUAGGGAGCAAGCGUUGUUCGGAAUCACUGGGCGUAAAGGGAGCGUAGGUGGGAGGAUGAGUUAGAAGUUAAAUGUGCGGGCUUAACCCGUAUACUGCUUUAAUUACUGUCCUUCUUGAGUAUGGGAGAGGUUAACGGUAAUUCCAGGUGUAGCGGUGGAAUGCGUAGAUAUCUGGAAGAACACCAGUUGCGAAGGCGGUUAACUGGCCCAAUACUGACACUGAGGCUCGAAAGCAUGGGGAGCAAACGGGAUUAGAAACCCGAGUAGU
rnacentral:rRNA from 1 species